AGUAAAAAGGGUUAGCAUAAGAUUUGUUCAUUUACACAUAACCUCUCCUCUGCACUCCGACGUCGAAACUCUUCUCCUCUCCAGCUUCGCUCGUCUCCUUUCCGGCGUCGAAACUCGUCCCCUCUCCAGCCUAUUGUACUUGUCAUUUUCUUCUUUGUUCUAGCGCCAUUAAUUUUCUUCAUCGGCCGAGGGCUUUACACUUCCACAAUGUUUGGUUCUAUUGUCUAUCUUCUCCAAGUUCAAGCUUAUUUUCACGUGAUUCCUUUUCAUUAUCAUCUUAUUUGGGUUCAUGUCAGACUUCACAUCGCUGUAGAGGAGCAAGAUUUGUUGUUAGAGCUGAUGCAGAUUACUAUUUAGUCCUGGGGGUGUCAAAAAAGCCAGUAAAUCUGAAAUAAAAAGGGGAAUGCUGAUUUUCAUUUUCAUUGUUUUCUAUAUGUCUGUACUGUUCUAUUACAUUAAUUUUAUGGUUUACAUAGUGAAGUACGUAUCCUUUUUUUCUUUAUUCUUCUUUCUCUAUUUGUUUUAUCCAAAAUUUUUGGUUCUUUUAUAUAUAGCCUAUGAUUUUUCUUCUAGUCAUUUGAAUUUCAUAAUCGAUCAGGCUUAAGAGGUUAUCUAAAUUCUAGGCCUAAAAAACUAGCAAGUGUUAAUUUUUGUUAAAAAUGUGAUAGGAAUCUAGAACACAAUUAACUGAUUCACUGCAAAGACAAGCUUUUUUAUUUUAAUACGAAUGAGGAACUUGUAAGGUUCCUAUUACACAGGAAAUUAUCAAAAUAGAAAAUAUGCUCUUCUGGCGGUUCUGAGGAGCCAGACCACCUCCCAAUAACACUCUGAAAUCUGAUGAGUCUAUCUGGCACCCAUCCUCCCCUUUUAUUGACACUGAGAAUAAUUUUAGAAGGAAGGGAAUCGUGGACUUCCCUUUUUAUUGCAAAUUAUAUUUGGAAAUCUAGGAUUCUUCUCUGAUUGAGACUUUAAAUUAUGAUUUUCUCCUAUUCUUAUUAGUUCUAUGAUAAAUUUGCCUUACUGGCUUCUUAACAUAAUGCAUAUGCUUCCAUCAUAUGUUUGUGGUUUCUCUCUCUUUGCUGUGCAGUUUAUUAAUACUAUCGUUUUUAAUCAUAUCUUGGUUUUUUGAGUAUUUCAUUUUAUUUGCACAGAAUGCGAUAGUUCCUCUAUGUGUAUUUUUUUAACUCUGCAUGCAAUAGGCUUUUUAUUUUACAUUAUCCUUAUGCUCUUUCAAGUCCCUGGUAAAAAUUUAUUUGUUUUGUGUAUUUGGCAGUUGGCACAAUUGACAUUAAUUUGUUUUUCCUUGUAUUGCUUCAUUUAAGAGGAAGCAAUUCAUAACAUGAUGUUGAAUAGUGUGGGGGAACUAUAUGAGGUUGUUUUUUUGAUAGAUAUUAUAUGUACACAGAAAGUAAAUACGAAGCUCAGUUAAAAUCACAACUUGAAAAAAAAAAAAGAAGCAUUAGGUUAUUAUGCUAGAGUAUGACUUCUCUUUUCUGGUUUGGCAGUGCCAAAAUGAUCAGGUUGGUGUCUGCGAAUUAUUAUGUAACUAAAAUAAAGUUGAAUUGAAAUCUGAAAGAUAAAAAAAUUGGUCUGAAACAGAGUACCAAAACCGAUUCUUGUUUGGAUAUAAUACAUGAUCCACUUUAUAAAUAAAUUUCCUUGGAAUUCUGAUUAAGGAACAAUCAAGAGUAGUAGAGGUGGACAUAUUUGGAAAUAACAGCACAUUUAUGCUGUAGGAAAUGUCUGAACCUUUUUCUUUUGGAUGAUUGGAGGAAUAUUAUGGAGUGAUUUGUUUCUCUGCUGUUCUUAAAUAUUGGAUCUAUAUAAAGUGACAGAACUAUUUGGUUUUGGGUACCAUGGCCUAUGAUGAUAUAGUCAUCUUGGUGGAAACAUGAUUAUCCAAAAUUAAUUCAAAUGAAACGUUCUCUUCCUUCUUUAGACCCUACCCUACUCUGUCCUUGCAAAAACAGUAGUUAAACUUGUAGAUUAGUGUGAGCAUUGUAAGAGAUCUA